UUCACCGUUAUGGAAUAUCUGUUAUAUAGAUGAUAUCGGAUAUGUUCCUUAUGUCAUAACUACAAUCCCGUUCCCUUUUCACGAAUGUGACAUACCGAAUUAGACUUUUUACGUUUAUUUGUGACAUUUUUACCUAUUGUGUCUGUUUGUUUUGUUCACGCAUCAUUAUCAAUAUUAUUAAAUUUGAUGCGACUGUCGUACAAGUGAGAGGUUUAGCGCUGUAAAACCAGGUUCAAUC
rnacentral:lncRNA from 1 species